rnacentral:rRNA from 1 species
UACGUAGGGGGCAAGCGUUGUCCGGAUUUAUUGGGCGUAAAGAGCGUGUAGGCGGCUUUACAGGUCCGUUGUGAAAACUCGAGGCUCAACCUCGAGACGCCGGUGGAAACCGUAAGGCUAGAGUCCGGAAGAGGAGAGUGGAAUUCCUGGUGUAGCGGUGAAAUGCGCAGAUAUCAGGAGGAACACCUAUUGCGAAGGCAGCUCGCUGGGACGUUACUGACGCUGAGGCGCGAAAGCGUGGGGAGCGAACAGG